GACGGAGGAUGCAAGCGUUAUCCGGAAUGAUUGGGCGUAAAGCGUCCGCAGGUGGCCGUUCAAGUCUGCUGUCAAAGACCGGGGCUUAACUUCGGAAAGGCAGUGGAAACUGAACAGCUAGAGUAUGGUAGGGGCAGAGGGAAUUCCUGGUGUAGCGGUGAAAUGCGUAGAGAUCGGGAGGAACCCCUGUGGCGAAGGCGGCCACCUGGGCCGACCCUGACGCUGAGGCGCGAAGGCGUGGGGAGCGAACGGG
rnacentral:rRNA from 1 species